GUGAAUCAUCGAGUCUUUGAACGCACAUUGCGCCCUCUGGUAUUCCGGAGGGCAUGCCUGCUUGAGUGUCAUUAAUCUCUCACAACCACCUGUGGUAUUGUGAUGGUGGGAGCUGCGCUGUGCUUGCACGACGCUCUCCUCAAAUGCAUUGGUGCGGCCUGCCGCCCGGUUACACAACGUUCUAGGUUCGUCCAACUCGUUGCUACUCCGGUGCAAUCAUGGUGCAGCACCUAAAGCCCGUCUCGUGCCUUGUGCUCUUGACAUCUUCAUUUAUUGACCUCAGUAUCAGGUAGGAAUACGCGCUGAACUUAA
rnacentral:rRNA from 1 species